AGUGAACGCUGGCGGUAGGCCUAACACAUGCGAGUCGAACGGCAGCACAGUAAGAGCUUGCUCUUACGGGUGGCGAGUGGCGGACGGGUGAGGAAUACAUCGGAAUCUACUUUUUCGUGGGGGAUAACGUAGGGAAACUUACGCUAAUACCGCAUACGACCUACGGGUGAAAGCAGGGGAUCUUCGGACCUUGCGCGAUUGAAUGAGCCGAUGUCGGUUUAGCUAGUUGGCGGGGUAACGGCCCACCAAGGCGACGAUCCGUAGCUGGUCUGAGAGGAUGAUCAGCCACACUGGAACUGAGACACGGUCCAGACUCCUACGGGAGGCAGCAGUGGGGAAUAUUGGACAAUGGGCGCAAGCCUGAUCCAGCCAUACCGCGUGGGUGAAGAAGGCCUUCGGGUUGUAAAGCCCUUUUGUUGGGAAAGAAAAGCAGCAGGUUAAUACCCCGCUGUUCUGACGGUACCCAAAGAAUAAGCACCGGCUAACUUCGUG
rnacentral:rRNA from 1 species